rnacentral:rRNA from 1 species
AUGAACGCUGGCGGCGUGCCUAAUACAUGCCAGUCGAGCGAACAGACGAGGAGCUUGCUCCUUCGACGUUAGCGGCGGACGGGUGAGUAACACGUAGGUAACCUACCUAUAAGACUGGGAUAACUUCGGGAAACCGGAGCUAAUACCGGAUAAUAUUUCGAACCGCAUGGUUCGAUAGUGAAAGAUGGCUUUGCUAUCACUUAUAGAUGGACCUGCGCCGUAUUAGCUAGUUGGUAAGGUAACGGCUUACCAAGGCAACGAUACGUAGCCGACCUGAGAGGGUGAUCGGCCACACUGGAACUGAGACACGGUCCAGACUCCUACGGGAGGCAGCAGUAGGGAAUCUUCCGCAAUGGGCGAAAGCCUGACGGAGCAACGCCGCGUGAGUGAUGAAGGUCUUCGGAUCGUAAAACUCUGUUAUUAGGGAAGAACAAACGUGUAAGUAACUGUGCACGUCUUGACGGUACCUAAUCAGAAAGCCACGGCUAACUACGUG